ACAUUUUUAUGAAUUUGUUGGAUAGAAGUUGGGAGUUAGAACAAUGGUCACGUAAAAGAAAUAUUUAAUUUGGUGAUGUUUGAUUGUUAUUAUGCGGCUUGUUGUCUGUGGAAAUGUGCACUUGCAGGCGAGUUACUUAAGGACAAACAAUGAUUCAAGUUUGGGAUUAUGAUGACAAUCAGUUAUUGCAUAUGUUUAUUCGAAGAAUCAGAGCAAACCAAGUGAAACUCGAGAAAAUAUGAGGAAGAAUGACCAAAGAAUGAGGGGAAAAUAGCUAAGUGUGAAAAUUGUGGACUUAGCGCAAAUUUGAGUGAAAAUGAGCAAAACAGAGCGAAGCUUCGAAAAUAAUUACAUCCACCAUCGCGCACACGAUAGGGCAUUAUAAACUGCAUCGUGCGUGCGAUGUAUGGUAUCACGCGCGUGAUGGUCACUUUUUUGGGCCUUUUUUGACGCGUUUUUA
rnacentral:lncRNA from 1 species